rnacentral:rRNA from 1 species
AUUGAACGCUGGCGGCAGGCCUAACACAUGCAAGUCGAACGGUAACAGGAAACAGCUUGCUGUUUCGCUGACGAGUGGCGGACGGGUGAGUAAUGUCUGGGAAACUGCCUGAUGGAGGGGGAUAACUACUGGAAACGGUAGCUAAUACCGCAUAACGUCGCAAGACCAAAGAGGGGGACCUUCGGGCCUCUUGCCAUCGGCUGUGCCCAGAUGGGAUUAGCUAGUAGGUGGGGUAACGGCUCACCUAGGCGACGAUCCCUAGCUGGUCUGAGAGGAUGACCAGCCACACUGGAACUGAGACACGGUCCAGACUCCUACGGGAGGCAGCAGUGGGGAAUAUUGCACAAUGGGCGCAAGCCUGAUGCAGCCAUGCCGCGUGUAUGAAGAAGGCCUUCGGAUUGUAAAGUACUUUCAGCGGGGAGGAAGGGAGUAAAGUUAAUACCUUUACUCAUUGACGUUACCCGCAGAAGAAGCACCGGCUAACUCCGUG